rnacentral:lncRNA from 10 species
UGCUUGGGUACUGCCAUGGAUAGCGCAUGUGUUGGCUUUGUCCAGCUUUGGGCUUUUUCCCACAUUGAUUUUAAAAAGACAGGAGCCACAGAUUUUGGAGUACUGCAAAAUGACUUUCCAAAUUGAUGAACCAUGGACUCCAAGCUGGAUAGACACAGAAAUGAAAAGAAGGGACUAAUAGGGAAUAAGACGUGUGAUCCAUGGCCCGAUGGCCCUGAUGGACGUGAAGAUCCACUGUUGUGGGAGGAGUGGAACACUAACACUGAAUGAUGGAGGCUGUGGUCAGAAACAGGGAUUAGCAACCCACUCUCCACCAAAUUUCAAGUCACUAGGGGCAUUAUGCUAUGUCCCAGGAGUGGCCAAGGCUUCAAGGACCAAUGAUAGACCUGCUGCUCUAACCUAGGCCUGCUGAGGAGUACAAUUCAACCUGUGUUUCUGUGUGGUUCAGCAAUCUUGCUGAGCUCCUCUAAGUCAGUCCAUCCUGCCACAGCUGGGAAGAAUCAAGAAACUCUCCAAGAAGACGUUUAUUGGUUGAUAAAAAUCUGUUUAUCUGCCUGUUGCCAAUGAGAAGACAGGUCUGCUGACCAUGGCAGGCAUGGCAGCACGUGACACCGUGUUUGCUGCUCACUGCAUGUUCCACCUGAACUUUCCCGUCCGGUCAAUGAGUCUUGACAGUGGGGUGAAGGGGACUCACUCUCAAAGACCAAGGCUGACCCGCUUUGAGUACAAUGCCUUGACCUAGUUACUGUCACUGUGGUUUUGUCUUCAGGAACUAAAAGGUACAAUAAAAACUUGUUCAUUU